GGCGUCAAACAUUGGCAUAUAGACCGGCGUCUCAAAUACGUGCAGUCAUUUUAUUCAGAACUUGGAAUUAUUUAUAUAAUGCUGUACGUGACUUUAAAUCUCGAUUUACUUAACUUAUGCCGGCGUCACACAUUGGCAUAUAGACCGGCGUCUCAAAUUCGUUCAAGAGACUUAGCGUGCAUUCACUCCAUCUACGUUAGACAAACGCCAGACAUACGCCAACAUACGUUACUUGAACGCCUGAUAAACGCUUAGGUACGCUUAUCGUCGGAGCUAUUUACGUCAAUGUUUGACGCCGGUAUUAAC
rnacentral:lncRNA from 1 species